rnacentral:rRNA from 1 species
AGAGUUUGAUCAUGGCUCAGAUUGAACGCUGGCGGCAUACCUUACACAUGCAAGUCGAACGGUAACGGGCCUUCGGGUGCCGACGAGUGGCGAACGGGUGAGUAAUGUAUCGGAACGUACCUUUCAGUGGGGGAUAACGUAGCGAAAGUUACGCUAAUACCGCAUAUUCUGUGAGCAGGAAAGCAGGGGAUCGCAAGACCUUGCGCUGAUUGAGCGGCCGAUAUCAGAUUAGCUAGUUGGUGAGGUAAAGGCUCACCAAGGCGACGAUCUGUAGCGGGUCUGAGAGGAUGAUCCGCCACACUGGAACUGAGACACGGUCCAGACUCCUACGGGAGGCAGCAGUGGGGAAUUUUGGACAAUGGGGGCAACCCUGAUCCAGCCAUGCCGCGUGAGUGAAGAAGGCCUUCGGGUUGUAAAGCUCUUUCGGCCGGGAAGAAAUCGUAUGGGUUAAUACCCUGUGCGGAUGACGGUACCAUAUGAAUAAGCACCGGCUAACUCCGUGCCAGCAGCCCGCGGUAAUACCGGAGGGUGCAAGCGUUAUCCGGAUUCACUGGGUUUUAAAGGGUGCGUAAGUGGGGUUGAUAAAGUCAAUGGUGAAAAU